rnacentral:rRNA from 1 species
UACGAAGGGUGCUAGCGUUGUUCGGAAUCACUGGGCGUAAAGCGUGCGCAGGCGGCUUUGCAAGACAGAUGUGAAAUCCCCGGGCUUAACCUGGGAACUGCAUUUGUGACUGCAUGGCUGGAGUGCGGCAGAGGGGGAUGGAAUUCCGCGUGUAGCAGUGAAAUGCGUAGAUAUGCGGAGGAACACCGAUGGCGAAGGCAAUCCCCUGGGCCUGCACUGACGCUCAUGCACGAAAGCGUGGGGAGCAAACAGG